rnacentral:rRNA from 1 species
GUCUACGGCCAUGCCACCCUCAAACACGCCCGAUCCCGUCCGAUCUGGGAAGCUAAGCAGGGUCGGGCCUGGUUAGUACUUGAAUGGGAGACCACCUAGGAAGACCAGGUGCUGUAGGCG